UAGAGUUUGAUCCUGGCUCAGGAUGAACGCUAGCUACAGGCUUAACACAUGCAAGUCGAGGGGAAACGACAUCGAAAGCUUGCUUUUGAUGGGCGUCGACCGGCGCACGGGUGAGUAACGCGUAUCCAACCUGCCCAUCACUUGGGGAUAACCUUGCGAAAGUAAGACUAAUACCCAAUGAUAUCUCUAGAAGACAUCUGAAGGAGAUUAACGAUUUAUCGGUGAUGGAUGGGGAUGCGUCUGAUUAGCUUGUUGGCGGGGUAACGGCCCACCAAGGCGACGAUCAGUAGGGGUUCUGAGAGGAAGGUCCCCCACAUUGGAACUGAGACACGGUCCAAACUCCUACGGGAGGCAGCAGUGAGGAAUAUUGGUCAAUGGGCGAGAGCCUGAACCAGCCAAGUAGCGUGCUGGAUGACGGCCCUAUGGGUUGUAAACUGCUUUUAUAAGGGAAUAAAGUGAGCCUCGUGAGGCUUUUUGCAUGUACCUUAUGAAUAAGGACCGGCUAAUUCCGUGCCAGCAGCCGCGGUAAUACGGAAGGUCCGGGCGUUAUCCGGAUUUAUUGGGUUUAAAGGGAGCGUAGGCCGGAGAUUAAGCGUGUUGUGAAAUGUAGACGCUCAACGUCUGCACUGCAGCGCGAACUGGUUUCCUUGAGUACGCACAAAGUGGGCGGAAUUCGUGGUGUAGCGGUGAAAUGCUUAGAUAUCACGAAGAACUCCGAUUGCGAAGGCAGCUCACUGGAGCGCAACUGACGCUGAAGCUCGAAAGUGCGGGUAUAGAACAGGAUUAGAUACCCUGGUAGUCCGCA
rnacentral:rRNA from 1 species